AGCAGCCGCGGUAAUUCCAGCUCCAAUAGCGUAUAUUAAAGUUGUUGCAGUUAAAAAGCUCGUAGUUGAAUUUCGGGGUUAGCAGGUCGGUCGUGCCAUUGGUAUGAACUGGUCUCGCUGAUCCCUCCCUCUUGACGAACUGUGAUGCCAUUAAUUUGGUGUCGCAGGGAAUCAGGACUGUUACUUUAGAAAAAUUAGAGUGUUUAAAGCAGGCUCACGCUUGAAUACAUUAGCAUGGAAUAAUGAAAUAGGACGUUUGAUCCUAUUUUGUUGGCUUCUAGGAUUGACGUAAUGAUUAAUAGGGAUAGUUGGGGGCAUUAGUAUUCAAUUGUCAGAGGUGAAAUUCUUGGAUUUAUUGAAGACUAACUACUGCGAAAGCAUUUGCCAAGGAUGUUUUCAUUAAUCAAGAACGAAAGUUAGGGGAUCGAAGACGAUCAGAUACCGUCGUAGUCUUAACCAUAAACUAUGCCGACUAGGGAUCGGAUGAUGUUAAUUUUUAAUGUACUCU
rnacentral:rRNA from 1 species